rnacentral:rRNA from 1 species
GUAGGUGAACCUGCGGAUGGAUCAUUACCGAACUCCUCAGAACACCGGGUCCGCCCGAGUGGCAUGAAAUCGGACAAACAUGCAAGCCGAAAGAGAUCAGAGCCAGACUCUACUCUUAGCUCGGCAAAAAUGUGACAACGCAAACUGCAACCUUUUCGGGGUACCUGGCACAUUGGUUUAAUGAGCAACGGCCGCCCCCAAACUAUUUUGUUUCACGUAACAAUUUGUAACAUUUGUAACCCAAAAAAUGUCUCUAACGAGAUGAUCAUAUACCACUCUAAGCGGUGGAUCACUCGGCUCGUGUGUCGAUGAAGAGCGCAGCCAGGUGCGUGAAUUAAUGUGAAUUGCAGGACACAUUGAACAUCGAUAUCUUGAACGCACAUUGCGGCUCCGGGUCACUCCCGGAGCCACGCCUGUCUGAGGGUCGGCAAAACAUCUAUCGCAAACUGCAGGCACAGCAGCGUUGCGCCUUGGACCGUACAUCUCCCCACCACGGGGAGCGGUCUCAAAUGAUGAAUCAGAGUCUCCAAGCGAACGAAGUAAAACCCCAGUAUGGAAACAAAUCAGAGACGCAGCUCGAUACACAAAUGCGCUCUCAGUUCCAAAGGGGCGUUCAAAAAURAAAGUGAGAAAAUAAAGCUGGUGUUAUUCUCUGUUCGGCACGUUUACACGCGCCUUUCACACUCCGACCUCAGAUCAGACGAGACUACCYGCUGAAUUUAAGCAUAUCACUAAGCGGAGGAAAAGAAACUAACAAGGAUUCCCCCAGUAACGGCGAGUGAAGCGG